GGAGGUAGUUCCGGUGGUAGAGCGUGUGCUUAGCACGCACAAGGUCCUGGGUUCAAUUCCCAGGACCUCCU
rnacentral:tRNA from 1 species